GAUGAACGCUGGCGGCGUGCUUAACACAUGCAAGUCGAACGAAGCACUUUUACAGAUUUCUUCGGAAUGAAGUUUUUGUGACUGAGUGGCGGACGGGUGAGUAACGCGUGGGUAACCUGCCUCACACAGGGGGAUAACAGUUGGAAACGGCUGCUAAUACCGCAUAAGCGCACAGUACCGCAUGGUACAGUGUGAAAAACUCCGGUGGUGUGAGAUGGACCCGCGUCUGAUUAGCUAGUUGGCAGGGCAACGGCCUACCAAGGCGAUGAUGCAUAGCCGAGUUGAGAGACUGAUCGGCCACAAUGGAACUGAGACACGGUCCAG
rnacentral:rRNA from 1 species